AACAUAUGAUUUGCUAGCUGUGCCGCGUUCCAGUCUUGGAUUAACAAAUUUCCAAAAUAUGGCCGCGACUGUUAUGUAGCUUUUUUCAGUAUUUGCUCAGUCUUAUCUGUUUUAUGAAAUAAAAUGAGCUUGGAACGUCAAUGAAAAUGGAUAAAUGAAGAUUGAAGAAUUGUUAUUUAGACUCGGCCAGGCGUGGGAGGAUUGGCAGUGGAAAAUGGAGCAUCUUAUCGACGUGGCCGGAGAGCGGCUUUCUGCAGCAGCUCUUCAGGUUCGAUGCAGCAGUGCCGGGGAGCAGUAUAGAAUCAUGGUAGCUGCUAUUGAGGAGCUAAUGGAGAAGGUUCAGAAAAGCUUCCUUGAGUUAAGAGCUGUUCAAAUGCUUCUUGAAUCUUUAAACAAUACUGCUGAUGAAAUGAUGGUAAAGCUUGCCUGGGCUACCCCUUUCUUUAGGAGUUUGCCCCGCGACAAAAUAGCCCUGGUGUCAAUCUCCCUUAUCAUCGGCUUCAUGACGGGUCGAUCCUUCUCCAGUUCCGUUCCUAGACUUAAACCUACAUAUAUGAUCUCUACUGUGUGCGGGAGCUAUUCAGGGGUUCCAGGGAUAGCACAGUGCAGGAUUGAGAUUCCCCGAAUUCAAUCAAGCGACGAACUCCUUAUCCGAGUAAUGUCCGCCAGCCUUGACCGAACCGACUACCUCUCAUUAACCGGCUGGGGCAGGGCGGAGAGGCGGAAAAUGCACGGCGGAUUCACCCUAGGCCGGGACUUUUGCGGCGUAGUGGUGGAGACGGGGGAGAAGGUGCCACACCUCCAACCUGGAGAUCGGGUGUGGGGAGCUGUUCCAUACAAUCUUCCCGGGACCAUGUCGGAGAUGGUGGUGCUCCCGGGGAGGUUUGUGGAGAAGAUGCCCAACAACCUGGACUGGGACGGAGCCGCCACCGUUCCCUACUCCGCCCUCAUGGUUUGGUCCGCCAUGGUGUGGAAAGGCGGAUUAAAGCCGGAUAAAUCUGAAGGUUUAAAAGUUCUAGUCCUUGAUGGAGUCUCAGAUACAGGUUGCCUGGCGACUCAGCUGGCCUGUCUCUGGGGUUGCAUGGUUACUGUGCUGUGUACCAGUCGAACUGUUCCUCUCGCGCACGCGCUUGGCGCGCAGUAUGUUGUUGCGGCGCGUGAGACAGGAGAAGAAACCCUUCAUGAUCUUGAAGAAUCAGGACCGUUUAAUCUAAUCAUUGUAGCCGGAGAUUUAAUCUCUGUAACCUCCUGUCUACCUCUUCUAGCGGAGCGAGGACGAAUAUGUUCAACCCUGCCUCCCAACCUGUCCUCCGAUAAUUGGGGGAUUUUUCGGCGCAUUUUUCUCCCGCUCUGGAGAACGUUCGUCCUUCCUCCGUCCUUACCUCGCUCCGGACAACUUGCUCAACCCUUGAAAUAUAUCACGGCAGCUGUAGAGAGCGGGAAAAUCCAACCCGUUCUAGAUUCGGUCCUCUCGCCGGCAGAUGUCAAGCAAGGUUUGACACGACUGGCGAACGAGGUCACAGUGGGCAAAUCUGUUCUGGUCUUUGACAAAAUUUAGUCAAAAAUUUACUCAAAUAUCUUGUCGACGCGACGAUAGGAUCAUGUCAUCAAGAGAAAAGGUUGACAAUAUCGACAGGAAUUAGUUAAUUAUUUGUUAAAGAAGCAACUUGAACUUAGUUAAAAGGUUUAAUUUGUCGGUAGAUAAUAUUGUAUUAAGAUACCUCAGUUUGACAUUUUAAAAUAGUUUAUAAUGUCGUCUGAUAUCAACGAAUAGUUGCUAUUUAUGUCGUCAACAAAUUAUCAAAUGUUGUAAACGUAAAUAGCUAUUUAUAUUGAUCAGAAAUCAAGUCAACGGUUAGUCGACAAAUAAAAUAGCUAUUUAUGUCGAUAAGAAAAGUCACUCUUAGAUUCAUAGUAUUACUCGUCUAACAAGACAGAGAUGGUUUAACAUUAAUUGUAAUUGUUAGUUAAGGGAGUGUUAGCGAAAAAUGAAAGGGGGUAUAGGCUGAUAUUUAAUUGAAUUCGUUUUCGAUCACUACUAACUUUACUUUUAAUAGCGUAUAUAAGGGGAAAAUGGUCGCGAACACUCGUUUUAAUACAGUGAUCGUCGUAUUUAUCAAUACAAUAAAGACUACUUUCGAAUAAAAUUUAUAUUUCUACUAAGCUUUCAAACCGAAUUAAUUCAUAACAUGGAAAUAAAUUUUAGCUUAUAAAAAAAGCUUUCUGUGUCUACUUGUGCACUUAUAAUUUAAGAAAAUUUUAUAUAAAUCAAAGGUAAAAUAAAAAAGUCGUCUUCGUUGUAUUGAUAUAACCGCCGACCACUGUAUGAUAAUGACACGUGUAUUUUUGCUAAUUACAGAUUGAUAGAUAGGACAAACCAUUGAAUAUAUCAUGAACCCGCAAUAUCUUUGUUUACAUGAAAAGUGUACUGUAGUUUCCGGGCGGAAUGUAAACAAAUCCAGUGCUGUUCUAAGUGCCCCAGUUUUGUAUAUAUUCUUCAAAGAACCUGCAGUACAGUUCAACAAAAAAACGAGAUAAAAAAUGUUUACGUAACCUCUGAGCUUUCUGCCUUAUAUAAACUCUUAUUGGCGGAAGGGAUUGUAAACGCAAUUUUAAGUAAAUAGAUGUUUGUUUGGUCAAGAAUUUACGAGAUAUCAAUCAUUUUCAUUCUGAAAAUUUAUUAUUUUUAAUUUUGGUUUCUCUAUGAACCGGCUCGCGGAUUUCUCCUAGGUUGUUAUGAUUAAACACUUAAAAGUAUAAAAAACGAAGAUAUCUUCAUUAUUGAUCAGAUAUAAUUAAAUUUAAUGGUUAAAGGUAGGAUCUAUCAAUUUAUGAAAUCUAUGGCGAAUACAUAUGAAGUCCUAUCCUUGUUAUCUGUAAAUAUUAAAAAGUUAAAUUUUGUGAACGUUUUAUAGUUCUUGCACCGACGAUAAGGGGGGGGGGGGGCAAAAUGUUGCUAAACAACAGUAUUGAGUGAAUUUUGCCUAAACAGCACCCCUUUCAUCUAAAAAAAACUUUCUUUUCUGACUUAUCCUAGAAUUGAUUGAGAAAAUGGUUUAUUAAACAUUGUUAUAAAUUUACAAUAAUACGUUGACUCAAUAUCUCAUUGUACAUGUACAUUGUACACCAUGUAUAAAUAAAUGUGUAUUGUACAAAUCCGGUUAUUUUUACAAUAUUGUACGAAAUCGUUGUACAAGUGGAGCUUAAAAACAUGUACAUGUAAAAAUUAACUAGUUAAAAUAAAUUAUAAUUUAAAACUUAAAA
rnacentral:misc_RNA from 1 species